CCUCAAGAUGAGAUUUCCCAACUUCGGUUAUAAGAUCCCUCAAAGAUGAUGAGGUUAAUAGGUUCGAGGUGGAAGCAUGGUGACAUGUGGAGCUGACGAAUACUAAUCGAUCGAAGACUUAAUCAAAA
rnacentral:rRNA from 1 species